rnacentral:rRNA from 1 species
GGAGGCGGAUUACCAAGUUUUUUGUGAAAUAUAACAGCUNAACCCCUUAAACUGUUUGAGAAACUGAUAAUNUAGAGUGAGGGAGAGGCAGAUGGAAUNGGUGGUGUAGGGGUAAAAUCCGUAGAGAUCACCAGGAAUACCCAUUGCGAAGGCGAUCUGCUGGAACUCAACUGACGCUAAUGCGUGAAAGCGUGGGGAGCAAACAGGAUUAGAUACCCUGGUAGUCCACGCCCUAAACGAUGUAUACUAGUUGUUGCUGUGCUAGUCACGGCAGUAAUGCACCUAACGGAUUAAGUAUACCGCCUGGGGAGUACGGUCGCAAGAUUAAAACUCAAAGGAAUAGACGGGGACCCGCACAAGCGGUGGAGCAUGUGGUUUAAUUCGAAGAUACGCGAAGAACCUUACCUGGGCUUGAUAUCCAACUAAUCUCUUAGAGAUAA